rnacentral:lncRNA from 1 species
AAAGGAAGAAAAGAAGAACAAGAACCCUAGGUGGGAAAAUUCAAGGGAAAAUUGGUGGAUUUCAAGUAAUCAAGCAAUCAAAUGUAAAAUUUCUUGAUUUUGACUUGUGAUCUACCUUUCCCAUGCAUUUCUCCUUAUUUUCCACGGUUAAAUUUCAUGUUUUCAUGGUGAAUUCAUGGCUGGCCAAAUGGGUAUGGAGAGAGAAUGAUGUUGGAUUGAUUUGAUUUCAAGUUAUGUUAAUGUUUUUAGUUAGUUAGUGAUGUGUAGCAAGAAAAGCCAACAAGAAAAAUUCAUUUUCUCCCAUUACCCAUAAGAGGCCGAAUUUUCUAGAGAGAAUAUUGAGGCUGAAAUUGAUGAUAUUUUCAUGAUAUUUUGGUGAUAUUUGAUGUUUGGUGAGGUUAGAAAUUAAAUGGGAAAUUUUGGUGUGAAAAUCUGAAUUUUUGCUCAACGUAUAGACAUGUGUGAUUAUUGACCCGGGACUGAUAAAUUGAAUCUCAUUCACAGUCACUGAGGUGAUUUAGGUAUAAUUGGAGUGUAGAAAGUGAGAGAAAUUGAUUUGGAGUUAAAUUGGAGAUUUUAACCGAUUAAACCGAGUAUAGUGUGACUUAGGUUGAAUAUCACAUUUAAGCGAUUAAUCGGACAUUUUGCAUUCAUAUCAUGCAUUAGUAGACUAAAUUAGUUUAAUUUCGAUUUAGUACCAAUGUAGUAAGUUUCUCGAUUUUGUAUUGUGUUAAGGUGGUGAGUCCUCUAAUAUGGACAAGGAAAUUGUACCCGAGGAUCGAUAAUCAGAGUACUAUAGAAAUUCGACCCUUUAAAUAGUGAGUAACCUUAUUAUCGUCUUAAUAAUCUAAAGUGAUUUUUAUCCAAUUUUAUGAUUUUAUGGAAAAUGAGUUUAAAUGACAAAUCUUUAUGUUUUAUAAACAAAAUGUGUUUAAACGAAAUGAUUUUAUAAAUUGUCUUGAAAUUGAAUAAUGAUUUUGAAAAUAGAGUAAUUGGAGACCACUGUUAUGUUGUAAAUUUAUGAUUUCAAUAAAUGGCUUAUGUUAAUGUGUUGGCAUGACUGGCUGGGUUAUGGUUUUUGUGAACUGUAUGAAUUGUUCUAUUUUACAUUUGCAAGCUGGGUAGUAUUAAAUUAACCCUGUCAUGCUGUCAAAAUUUUAUUGUAUGGUGGGUAUUGCUUACUGCAGUGGGCUGGGUUUUGUGGACUAGCCUAUUAGAGGGGUAUUGAAUCCUGACAUAUUUUACCUCGAUUGGAGAGGCGAGUAGGGUAACUCCUGAGGUAUAACUUUUAGAGUUCACUUCACGCCAAACCACCACGUGAGGGGGAACUCGGCCAAUGCCAAGGAACGACUAUAUUUUCUAAAUAAAAACAUGAUUUAUGAGUAUAUAACUUUUUAAUAGCCUUGGUGGACUCGGUUUGGGAUAGCCCUCGGCUAAGGUAUCCCUAAUAACUGAGUAUAAAAAUAAUUUUUGGCAUGAGCCAAGUUUUAAGAAAUUCAUAAGCCAUGUUGAUUACUCGAUUUAAAUGAAUUGAAUUUUAUUUGGUUGAAAUGAGUUGAAAGAUAAUAAAUUAAAGUAUUAUGAUUUAUUUUAUCUGUCUCCAUUUACUCGACUUUAGAUAUUUUAAAUGGUAAUUGUUUACUCACUGGGAUUUUAUAAUCUCACCACCCUUCUUUCCACCCAUUUUAGGCUCAGAAUAGACUGUAGAUAGCUGAUCGCAUCGAGGACUACCAUUGGAAUUGCAUUUUCCAAAUUGUAGGUUCACAGUCUUCUUUACUUUUGAAUAUUCAGGGGUCCCACUUGUUACUGUAAAUUAAAUUUCAUACUCCAGUUAUCUGUACUACUGUAUAUA